rnacentral:rRNA from 1 species
UAGGGAAUCUUCCGCAAUGGGCGAAAGCCUGACGGAGCAACGCCGCGUGAGUGAUGAAGGUCUUCGGAUCGUAAAACUCUGUUAUUAGGGAAGAACAAAUGUGUAAGUAACUAUGCACGUCUUGACGGUACCUAAUCAGAAAGCCACGGCUAACUACGUGCCAGCAGCCGCGGUAAUACGUAGGUGGCAAGCGUUAUCCGGAAUUAUUGGGCGUAAAGCGCGCGUAGGCGGUUUUUUAAGUCUGAUGUGAAAGCCCACGGCUCAACCGUGGAGGGUCAUUGGAAACUGGAAAACUUGAGUGCAGAAGAGGAAAGUGGAAUUCCAUGUGUAGCGGUGAAAUGCGCAGAGAUAUGGAGGAACACCAGUGGCGAAGGCGACUUUCUGGUCUGUAACUGACGCUGAUGUGCGAAAGCGUGGGGAUCAAACAGGAUUAGAUACCCUGGUAGUCCACGCCGUAAACGAUGAGUGCUAAGUGUUAGGGGGUUUCCGCCCCUUAGUGCUGCAGCUAACGCAUUAAGCACUCCGCCUGGGGAGUUACGACCGCAAGGUUNGA